rnacentral:rRNA from 1 species
AAAUUGAAGAGUUUGAUCAUGGCUCAGAUUGAACGCUGGCGGCAGGCCUAACACAUGCAAGUCGAACGGUAACAGGAAGCAGCUUGCUGCUUUGCUGACGAGUGGCGGACGGGUGAGUAAUGUCUGGGAAACUGCCUGAUGGAGGGGGAUAACUACUGGAAACGGUAGCUAAUACCGCAUAACGUCGCAAGACCAAAGAGGGGGACCUUAGGGCCUCUUGCCAUCGGAUGUGCCCAGAUGGGAUUAGCUAGUAGGUGGGGUAAAGGCUCACCUAGGCGACGAUCCCUAGCUGGUCUGAGAGGAUGACCAGCCACACUGGAACUGAGACACGGUCCAGACUCCUACGGGAGGCAGCAGUGGGGAAUAUUGCACAAUGGGCGCAAGCCUGAUGCAGCCAUGCCGCGUGUAUGAAGAAGGCCUUCGGGUUGUAAAGUACUUUCAGCGGGGAGGAAGGGAGUAAAGUUAAUACCUUUGCUCAUUGACGUUAUCCGCAGAAGAAGCACCGGCUAACUCCGUGCCAGCAGCCGCGGUAAUACGGAGGGUGCAAGCGUUAAUCGGAAUUACUGGGCGUAAAGCGCACGCAGGCGGUUUGUUAAGUCAGAUGUGAAAUCCCCGGGCUCAACCUGGGAACUGCAUCUGAUACUGGCAAGCUUGAGUCUCGUAGAGGGGGGUAGAAUUCCAGGUGUAGCGGUGAAAUGCGUAGAGAUCUGGAGGAAUACCGGUGGCGAAGGCGGCCCCCUGGACGAAGACUGACGCUCAGGUGCGAAAGCGUGGGGAGCAAACAGGAUUAGAUACCCUGGUAGUCCACGCCGUAAACGAUGUCGACUUGGAGGUUGUGCCCUUGAGGCGUGGCUUCCGGAGCUAACGCGUUAAGUCGACCGCCUGGGGAGUACGGCCGCAAGGUUAAAACUCAAAUGAAUUGACGGGGGCCCGCACAAGCGGUGGAGCAUGUGGUUUAAUUCGAUGCAACGCGAAGAACCUUACCUGGUCUUGACAUCCACGGAAGUUUUCAGAGAUGAGAAUGUGCCUUCGGGAACCGUGAGACAGGUGCUGCAUGGCUGUCGUCAGCUCGUGUUGUGAAAUGUUGGGUUAAGUCCCGCAACGAGCGCAACCCUUAUCCUUUGUUGCCAGCGGUCCGGCCGGGAACUCAAAGGAGACUGCCAGUGAUAAACUGGAGGAAGGUGGGGAUGACGUCAAGUCAUCAUGGCCCUUACGACCAGGGCUACACACGUGCUACAAUGGCGCAUACAAAGAGAAGCGACCUCGCGAGAGCAAGCGGACCUCAUAAAGUGCGUCGUAGUCCGGAUUGGAGUCUGCAACUCGACUCCAUGAAGUCGGAAUCGCUAGUAAUCGUGGAUCAGAAUGCCACGGUGAAUACGUUCCCGGGCCUUGUACACACCGCCCGUCACACCAUGGGAGUGGGUUGCAAAAGAAGUAGGUAGCUUAACCUUCGGGAGGGCGCUUACCACUUUGUGAUUCAUGACUGGGGUGAAGUCGUAACAAGGUAACCGUAGGGGAACCUGCGGUUGGAUCACCUCCUU